rnacentral:misc_RNA from 1 species
CCAAUAGCGUAUAUUAAAGUUGUUGCAGUUAAAAAGCUCGUAGUUGAACUUCGGGGUCUACCCAUAGGUCAGGCUUAAUUGUCUGCACUGGUGAGAUGGAUCUCUACCUUCUGAGGAACUUUCAUGCCAUUUAUUUGGUGUGAUGGGAAAUCAGGACUGUUACUUUGAAAAAAUUAGAGUGUUUAAAGCAGACUAUCGUCUGAAUACAUUAGCAUGGAAUAAUGAAAUAGGAAGGACUGAUUCUAUUUCGUUGGUUUCUAGGAUCACCGUAAUGAUUAAUAGGGAUAGUUGGGGGCAUUAGUAUUCAAUUGUCAGAGGUGAAAUUCUUGGAUUUAUUGAAGACUAACUACUGCGAAAGCAUUUGCCAAGGAUGUUUUCAUUAAUCAAGAACGAAAGUUAGGGGAUCGAAGACGAUCAGAUACCGUCGUAGUCUUAACCAUAAACUAUGCCGACUAGGGAUCGGAUGAUGUUAUUUUUAAUGACUCAUUCGGCGCCUUACG